UAUUAGGUUGGUGCAAAAGUAAUUGCAGUUUUUGCCAUUAAAAGUAAUGGAAAGAAACUGCAAUUACUUUUGCAUCAAGCUAAUACUUU
rnacentral:miRNA from 1 species